GCCCAAGGAGCAGCCGGCAGCUUGACACAGUGACCAAUUGGAAGCACAGCAGCCACACGCCAUGAAACAAGACGGAGUUUCGCUCUUGGCUGGAGUGCAAUGUCGCAAUCUGGGCUCACCACAACCUCCACCUCCCGGGUUCAAGUGAUUCUCCUGCCUCAGCCUCCCAAGUAGCUGGGAUUACAGGCAUGCACCACCAUACCAGACUAAUUUUGUAAUUUUAGUAGAAACGGGGUUUUUCCAUGUUGGUCAGGCUGGUCCUGAACUCCCGACCUCGGGUGAUCCUCCCACCUCAGCCUCCCUAUAUUAUUAAUCUUAAGUCUAAAUGUUCUAUUAGAAAAGUUACAAUCACAUAUGCAGCUUGCAUUACAUUGCUAAUGGAACACGCUGCUCUAAACCAGGGAUUGGCAAACUAUGGGCAGUGGACAACUUCCAGCCCACUGUCUGUUUCUGUACAGCUGGUAAACAAGGAAUGGUUUUCACAUUUUUAAAUGGCAGAAAAAAAAUAAUUUGUGAUACGUGAACAUUAAUAAAAUUCAAAUUUCAGUGUCC
rnacentral:lncRNA from 1 species